AAAAAUGACAAAAAUAAUUCUCGUGUAAGGGCCGCUAUUCGCGACCUAGAAGGAACGGUGCUGCUAUCUAUGAAAGUUUAAUCUGUGUGUGAAGUGAAUGUAAACAAAGCAGGCGUUGAAGUACUAAAAAGAUUCUAUUUAGUUAUUAAAACUUAUUUUGCGGUACAUCAUUGCUGGUAUUUCGUGAGUAAAAAGCGGGAAAAAACUCCUCUUCCGGCACUAGUAAUCCGCAUAGGUCAUGGAUCUGAAAAUUUGCUCGAAUGGGCUUGCAAAAACAUUUCAUGACAGUGUUUGUAAUUCUGAUAAGAACAGUGUUAUGUUCCAGAAUUAGUAUAUCGAUUCAAUCCCUCCCAAACAAGUAAAAUAAACGAUACGUAAUAUGGAUUCAAUGAUUCAGAAUCGAGUCAACGAAAACUACUUGGGUGCAAUUUACAUUUCUCUGGCAAUAAAUUGUGUUCCCCCCAGUUUGAACCUCCUAACUAUGCGAGUAAUUCUGAGGACUUCUUCUGUACCCGCUGCUUCCUGUCCCUACUAAGGAGUUGAGCUGUAAUUUUAUCGAGUGUCGUCAAUUUAUAAACUUAUA